CCUACGGGUGGCAGCAGUAGGGAAUCUUGCGCAAUGGACGAAAGCCUGAUCCAGCAACGCCGCGUGAGUGAAGAAGGAUUUCGGUUUGUAAAACUCUGUUGUCAGAGAAGAACAAGGCGGUAACUAACUAAACGUCCCCGGAUAACUACGUGCCAGCAACCGCGGGAAUACGGCGUGCGCACGCGUUCUCCGGAUGUACGGGGCGUAAAGUGAUCGUAGGCGGCAGCUCAAGUCUGGAGUGAAGGGCCGUGGCUCAACCGGGGAGGGGCAUUGGAAACUGGGCGGCUAGAGUGCAGAAGAGGGAAGUGGAAUUCCUGGUGUAGCGGUGAAAUGCGUAGAUAUCAGGAGGAACACCAGUGGCGAAGGCGGCUCUCUGGACUGUAACUGACGCUGAGGCUCGAAAGCGUGGGGAGCAAACAGGAUUAGAUACCCGAGUAGUC
rnacentral:rRNA from 1 species